CGGUGGAGCAUGUGGUUAAUUCGACGCAACGCGAAGAACCUUACCAGGGUUGACAUCCCUGACGGCUGUGGAAACACAGAAUUCUAUUUUCGGAUAGACAGGGAGACAGGUGGUGCAUGGUUGUCGUCAGCUCGUGUCGUGAGAUGUUGGGUUAAGUCCCGCAACGAGCGCAACCCCUACGUUUAGUUGCUAACGGGUGGAGCCGAGCACUCUGGACGAACUGCCGUUGACAAACGGAGGAAGGUGGGGAUGACGUCAAAUCAUCAUGCCCCUUAUGUCCUGGGCCACACACGUGCUACAAUGGCCGGUACAGAGGGAAGCGAAGCCGUGAGGCGGAGCAAAUCCCAAAAAGCCGGUCUCAGUUCGGAUUGCAGGCUGCAACCCGCCUGCAUGAAGUCGGAAUCGCUAGUAAUCGCAGGUCAGCAUACUGCGGUGAAUACGUUCCCGGGCCUU
rnacentral:rRNA from 1 species